rnacentral:snoRNA from 1 species
UCUGCAGGCAACGGAUUGACUGCGCCGAAACUUUGGCACAGCCUGCUCAACACCUGCGGAUAGAAAACGUGUCAAUUUCGUGAACUGAACAAGUUCAUUCCACAGAAGUGUUCGGUCUUUAAAGUUGUCCACAUCU